rnacentral:rRNA from 1 species
UGAGGAAUAUUGGACAAUGGAGGCAACUCUGAUCCAGCCAUGCCGCGUGCAGGAAGACUGCCCUAUGGGUUGUAAACUGCUUUUAUACGGGAAGAAACACCGCUACGUG